rnacentral:lncRNA from 1 species
UGAAACUUUAAUUAUCAGGGACUGGAACAAACGACACACAAUCUACAGGUUUUGUAUAAGCCUGGGCUGAGAAAGGGAAGCAACUUUUAGAGGGAAGCAGUCGGGGAAACUCAUAGAUCGGAUGGAAUUUUUUUGAGACAACGCUAACCUUGUAAUCAGGCUUCCUUAAAAAAUCUGCAGAAGUAAGUUGAAGUAUUUACUCAAUUUGUCACUUUGUUUAGUGUCUUCUUGGUGAAUAUCAAAUGAAAUUUCAAAAUUUCAAACCCAUAAUGAUUCAGAAUUUGAGAAAUAUCUUCUAGAAAAGAUACAUCCAUGAGAUUGUUUAGUUAUUUUGAGAAAAUUAACAGGAUAGCAUUCUCCUGUACCACUGACAUCCAUGAUACAGUUUUAGAUAUUUUCUUUUAAAUUCAAGAUGGUCAGUCUCUUUGUGACAACUUCCAGUAUGGAUAAUCUUUCUUAUUGGAUCAUGAUCUUAAAAUUCAAAAUCAUAAAUUUGACUUCCUUUGAGCCAGACGCACAGUGAAAAUAACCUUUCUUGGCCAUAAACUGCAUUCCAGUUAGGCAUCUCAGGAAUGAGUGCCAUCGGCUAGCGGUGGGUGGGAAUUAGAAAUUAUGAACAGUUCUACACAAACAUUUCUUCCUUCAUGCCACGAAAACGUAUAGCAUCUAAUUUGGUCAAGCCACCAUGCUAGGCAUUAGGGGCUAUUAAAGUAAAGCAAAAUAAGAAGAAAUAAAAUCUGACUCCAGUCCUCAAAGAGAAACAAACAAUUUGCACAAUAUAUAUUAAAUAUAGAAAACGCUUUGGAUAAUGAUGUUCCGGGGGAAGAACGGGGAUGAAGUAUGUCUUCAAGCAGCAGAACGAUUGGGAAGACUUGACUGGUGGAGUCCUUGCUGCCAGCAAGGGAGAGAAAGGCAAUUAACAGGCGUCUUCAGAGCUGGGGCUGAGAAAGGCCGGGACGUUGUUUGAACUCUUAAAUAGAAGAAACAGUUCUAAGUUUAGAGAAAACGGCCCACGGCUGAUAGACACGAGGACGAGUGACAGCGCGGGGACCAGCGGCUCUUCCGUGUGGCACGCGGCGUCGGACUCGGGAGUUCACAGCCUCAUACAUCCGGAAAGGUCAAGAGAAAGGCAGGCCCUUUAAUUUAUAGUCAGAUAAUCGUGGCGAUUCCUCUUCCUUAAACAAGAUGUAAAUAACUCCUCAAAGAAAACUCGCUCUGCAGGAGCCGUUUAUGACGAGAAAUCAGACAGAAGACUAUUUUUCAGGAACACGAUUUCGUCUGAAAACCCCUUUUUCUUAAUCUCUAGCAGCCUCAGCAAAAAGUUUAUUUAAAAAAUAUUUUUUCUCUAGUUCUUUUACUGAAGACACUUUCGACUAGAGGGAAUGGAGCUUCUCUUAGCUGGGUGAUGGGGAUUAACGACCUGGAGGGAUCC